rnacentral:sRNA from 1 species
GCCAGGCACAGUGGUGCACGCCUGUAAUCCCAGUGCCUCGGGAGGCUGAGGCAGGAGGAUUGCAAGUUCAAAGCCAGCCUCAGCAACUCAGCAAGGCCCUAAGCAACUCAGUGAGACUCUGUCUCUA